GCAGAAUUGAGGUCUGUCGCUGCGGAUAGCGGUUUUGGCUGCUAUCCGGAGAGGAAAGUCCGGGCAACAGAGAGCACCGCAUUUCUUAACGGGAAGCCGGCGGCAACGUCGGGGCAAGUGUGACAGAAAACAACCGCCUCCACUACUAUUUGUUUCAUAUGCCUGUGGAGGUAAGGGUGAAAAGGCGGGGUAAGAGCCCACCGGCUCCGGUGGCGACAUCGGAGGCCGCACAUCCUGCGGGUU
rnacentral:RNase_P_RNA from 1 species